GAGAGUUAAACAGUACGUGAAAUUGUUGAAAGGGAAACGAUUGAAGUCAGUCGUGCCGGCGCGAAAUCAGCUUGACCGGUAGGAGGUCACAGGCUGUGGCGAGCCUCAAAACCGCCACGACUUGUGCUCUUCUGCCGGCCUCGUGCACUUUCGUGUCGGCUGGUUAACAUCAAUUUCGAUCGUCAUAAAAAGGCUGGAGGGAUGUGGCUCCUUCGGGAGUGUUAUAACCUUUAGCGGAAUGUGGUGGUCGGGAUUGAGGCUUGCAACGAAUACCUUCAGGGCUGUUCCACCUGGCCUCUCAUCGGAAUUCUGGCGGCGACAGCUUGCUGACGUUGUUAGGAUCGGCCUUCGAACAGGCUAGAGUGUGAGCAAAUUCGUUAAGGAUGUUAACGUAAUGGCUUUAAACGA
rnacentral:rRNA from 1 species